rnacentral:lncRNA from 1 species
UUCUCGUCAAUCGAUCGAUCUGUAAUUUGUAAAUCUACUGCGCUUUUUUUUUUAUAAUUCCCAGAUCCAAUUAUCCCAAAUCCAAAUUCAACAUAAAAAACAAUGAUAAGUUCGAGAUUCAGAAAAUCAAUCAAGCAUGAACUAGAUUACAAAAAUAGAAAUAGUCUCUUCUUGCCUGGUCUGGUUUGGUCGGGGCUUCUCAGUUCAGCUCUGAACUUCCUCCGGUGAGGAAAUUCAAUUAAAUUACAUCCUUAAAAAUGACUAUGGGGAAUGGAUGAAUGGAAUUAACCAUGUACAUAGGAUUCUGGUAUUUUAUUGCUGCUAAUUAAAUCAAUAUACAACUAACAAAUGACCUGCUCUUUCUGCGUUUCGAUCUUCUUCAUCUGACUGUGCUGCGUGGUAUGUGACGUAAAGUAUUCUUUUCAACUAUUUCCAUGGCUAACUAAU